rfam:Gasterosteus aculeatus cont1.015688, whole genome shotgun sequence.
UCCUCGUUAGUAUAGUGGACAGUAUCUCUGCUUGUCACGCAGAAAACCAGGGUUCGAUUCCCUGACGGGGAG